rnacentral:rRNA from 1 species
GACGAACGCUGGCGGCGUGCUUAACACAUGCAAGUCGAACGGAAAGGCCUCUUUCGGGGGGUACUCGAGUGGCGAACGGGUGAGUAACACGUGAGUAACCUGCCCUUGACUUUGGGAUAACUUCAGGAAACUGGGGCUAAUACCGGAUAGGAGCUCCUGCAGCAUGGUGGGGGUUGGAAAGUUUCGGCGGUUGGUGAUGGACUCGCGGCUUAUCGGCUUGUUGGUGGGGUAGUGGGUUACCAAGGCUUUGUCGGGUAGCCGGCCUGUGAGGGUGAGCGGCCGCAUUGAGACUGAGAGACGGCACAGACUGCUACGGGAGGAAGCAGUGGGGAAUAUUGAACAAUGGGUGGAAGCCUGAUGCAGCAACGCCGUGUGCGGGAUGACGGCCUUCGGGUUGUAAACCGCUUUCGCUCAUGACGAAGCUUUGUGUGACGGUAGUGGGUAAAGAAGCACCGGCUAACUACGUG